AAGUCGUAACAAGGUCUCCGUAGGUGAACCUGCGGAGGGAUCAUUACCGAGUGAGGGCCCCCGGCCCGACCUCCCACCCCAUGUAUUUCGACUCUGUUGCCUCGGGGGCGACCCGGCCUUCGGGCGUCGGGGCCCCCGGUGGACUGUAUAACCCUGCAUCCAUGCGUCCGAGUAACAAAUGAAUCAAUCAAAACUUUCAACAACGGAUCUCUUGGUUCUG
rnacentral:misc_RNA from 1 species